rfam:Trichomonas vaginalis G3, whole genome shotgun sequence.
GUAGUCUGCCAUACGCAGGAAGACCCGCUGAACUGAAGCAUCUCAUUAAGCGGAGGAAAAGAAACUAACUAGGAUUCCCUUAGUAAAGGCGAUCGAAAAGGGAACAGCCCAACGUCUUAAUCCCGCAAGGGAAAUGUAGUCGGUUCACCUAUUGCACUGGUCUAAGUCAGAUGGAAUGCUGCGCGAUUCAGAGUAAAAGCCUCGUAUGACCAACCGCAAGCUUACGAUGGACCGGGGAGAGUCGGAUACUUUGAGAGUAGUGUCUUAAGGGGGUGGUAUGUCCCAUCCAAGGCUAAAUAACGUGAGGAGACCGAUAGAUUACAAGUAGUGUGAACGAAAGAUGAAAAGAACUCUAAAACAGAGGGUGAAAAGUUCCUGAACUUGCUUAGGGUUAAGGCUAUUUAUAGUACCCGUCUUGAAACACGGAUUAGGGAGUUUAUCUGUAGUGCGAGUCUUUGCACGUUAACUGUAAAGGCGUAGAGAAAGCAACUGGCGUUUGCAUGGCUACUGAGCAUUACUGAUAGGACCCCGAAAGGUGGUGAACUUUGCCUGCACAGGUUGAAGUCAGGGGAAACUCUGAUUGAGGACCGUACGGGUUUAUGAUG